UGUAGUCUGCAACCCGACUACAUGAAGCUGGAAUCGCUAGUAAUCGCGGAUCAGAAUGCCGCGGUGAAUACGUUCCCGGGUCUUGUACACACCGCCCGUCACACCAUGGGAGUCGGAAAUGCCCGAAGUCUGUGACCCAACCUGAGAGGGAGGGAGCAGCCGAAGGCAGGUCGGAUGACUGGGUGAAGUCGUAACAAGGUAUC
rnacentral:rRNA from 1 species